rnacentral:rRNA from 1 species
UCGUAACAAGGUUUCCGUAGGUGAUCCUGCGGAAGGAUCAUU